rnacentral:lncRNA from 1 species
CCCCUAAUGCUAAUGACUCUUCCACCAGUCUUCUGUGCAGGCCAUCUCAUGGAGAUUGCUUUUCUGUUCCUUUUAGGCAUGUAUUGCUCAGCACCAGGUCUGUCCCAACCUUCUGGAUUGUGCUACUCAGGUUAUCACUGUGCCAGCGGAGCCACCAGCCCAGCACCCUUCAAACACAGGGUAGAAUCUGCUGGCCUAGGUGUGCCUGGUAAUGACAUCUGUCCUGUCGGGCAUUUCUGCCCCAGUGGUACAGGGUAUCCCCUGCCCUGUCCUCCUGGAUCCUUCUCUGCUGUCACAGGCCUGGAGGCAGAAGAGCAGUGCCAGCCCUGCCCAGCAGGACGGUAUUGCAGUGGGGCAGGAUUGUUUGAUCUGGCUCAGACGUCGCUGUGUAACGCAGGGUAUGUUUGCCUGGAAGGAAGCUCUGCUCCCUGCCCUUCGGAUGGGAUUCAUGGAUACAGGUGUCCCAGUGGCUUCUACUGUCCUGCUGGCACUGGGGUAGAGCUGCCCUGUGAGCCUGGCUCGUUCAGCCCUAUGCCUGGGGCGAGUGUCUGCCUCCCCUGCCCAGCUGGUAUGGCCUGCAGCAGUGCUGCCACCGUGGAGCCACUCAGCUGCCCCAGAGGUUACUAUUGUCCAGCAGGGACUGCUGCUCCCCUGCCCUGCCCCGAGGGGACGCUGAAUGCCUUGGAGGGGGCCCUGGCUCUCGCUGCCUGUAAGCUGUGUCCUGUGGGGAGGUACUGCAGAGGAGACGCUAACUGGGAACCUGAUGGUCUGUGUUCAGCUGGGUACUACUGUGAGGGGGGAGCCACGGAUGCUGUUCCACACGGGACUCCUGGGUUCCCCCUCAGUGGGCCCUGCCCGCCCGGGCACUAUUGUCCAGAGGGAACUCCCUUCCCAGUCGCCUGCCCGGUCGGGACCCUGAGCAAUGGCACAGGUGGUACCUCUCCAGAGAGCUGUGUGCCGUGCUAUCCUGGGUCUUUCUGUGCUAGCCUUGGUUUAAGUUCUCCAACAGGACCUUGUACCGAGGGGUUUUACUGCCCAGCAAACUUCAGCUCCUUCAGCCCCACAGCAUUCCUUUGCCCCAAGGGUCACUUCUGCCAGUCAGGGGCAGCCCACCCAGCACCAUGCCCUCCUGGGGAAUACCAGCCAGCCAGGGGCUCUGCGUCCUGCAUUCCAUGCCAGAGAGGAUUCUACUGCCAGGACCUGGUGGCAGGAGACCCCAGGCGCUGCCCACCUCAUUCUUACUGUCCCCCAGGUACACUGAAGCUGGCACACUGGUUAUGCUGA